AUUAAACAUGCUUGUUUUGGCAACUAUUAUGAUGUUUAUCUGAAUGUUCAGGGCUAAAAGCUGAGGUGAGUAUAUUAAGUAAUCGCAUACCUUAUUCUUAUUUACAAACGUCAGAAAGAGUGCUCGAUACAAACAUUCUUUCUUUGUUAAUCUGAAAUUCCUCAAAACAAAAUUUUCAAAUUUCCUAAUAACUUAGACUAAGUCAUGGAAGAUAAAAUUAGAAGGUUCUAAAAAAGGAGAUUUAGAUUAGAUAUUAGUAGGAAAUCUUUCACAAAGAGGGUGGUGAGGCACAGGAACAUGAUGCCCAAAGAAGUUGUCAGUCUCCCAUUACUGGAGGCAUUCAUGGCCAGGUUGGGUGGGACCCUGGGCAGCCUGACCUAGUGUGUCUGAUCUAGUGGUUGGCAACACUGCCCAUGGCAGCAAAUUGAAACAAGAGGAUCUUUAAGGC
rnacentral:lncRNA from 1 species